rnacentral:piRNA from 1 species
CACUGCAAACCCCCGAAGAGAGUCCA